rnacentral:rRNA from 1 species
UAGGGAAUCUUCGGCAAUGGACGAAAGUCUGACCGAGCAACGCCGCGUGAGUGAAGAAGGUUUUAGGAUCGUAAAACUCUGUUGUUAGAGAAGAACAAGGACGUUAGUAACUGAACGUCCCCUGACGGUAUCUAACAAGAAAGCCACGGCUAACUACGUGCCAGCAGCCGCGGUAAUACGUAGGUGGCAAGCGUUGUCCGGAUUUAUUGGGCGUAAAGCGAGCGCAGGCGGUUUCUUAAGUCUGAUGUGAAAGCCCCCGGCUCAACCGGGGAGGGUCAUUGGAAACUGGGAGACUUGAGUGCAGAAGAGGAGAGUGGAAUUCCAUGUGUAGCGGUGAAAUGCGUAGAUAUAUGGAGGAACACCAGUGGCGAAGGCGGCUCUCUGGUCUGUAACUGACGCUGAGGCUCGAAAGCGUGGGGAGCAAACAGG